UACGUAGGGCCAAGGCGUUGUCCGGAUUUAUUGGGCGUAAAGAGCGUGUAGGCGGCCCGAUAAGUCCGCUGUGAAAGUCCAGGGCUCAACCCUGGGAUGCCGGUCGAUACUGCCGGACUAGAGUUCGGAAGAGGCGAGUGGAAUUCCCGGUGUAGCGGUGAAAUGCGCAGAUAUCGGGAGGAACACCAAUGGCGAAGGCAGCUCGCUGGGACGUUACUGACGCUGAGACGCGAAAGCGUGGGGAGCAAACAGG
rnacentral:rRNA from 1 species